rnacentral:rRNA from 1 species
UACGUAGGGUGCGAGCGUUGUCCGGAUUUAUUGGGCGUAAAGAGCGUGUAGGCGGCCAGGUAGGUCUGCUGUGAAAACUCGAGGCUCAACCUCGAGACGUCGGCGGAAACCAUCUGGCUAGAGUCCGGAAGAGGAGAGUGGAAUUCCUGGUGUAGCGGUGAAAUGCGCAGAUAUCAGGAAGAACACCCGUGGCGAAGGCGGCUCUCUGGGACGGUACUGGACGCUGAGACGCGAAAGCGUGGGGAGCGAACAGG